CGCCAGGCCUCCCUGUCCAUCACCAACUCCCGGAGUUUACUCAAACUUGCAUCCAUCGAGUCAGUGAUGCCAUCCAGCCAUCUCAUCCUCUGUCGUCCCCUUCCCCUCCUGCCCCCAAUCCCUCCCAACAUCAGAGUCUUUUCCAAUGAGUCAACUCUUCGCAUGAGGUGGCCAAAGUGUGGAGUUUCAGCUUUAGCAUCACUCCUUCCAAAGAAAUCCCAGGGCUGAUCUCCUUCAGAAUGGAUUGGUUGGAUCUCCUUGCAGUCCAAGGGACUCUCAAGAGUCUUCUCCAACACCACAGUUCAAAAGCAUCAAUUCUUCAGCGCUCAGCUGUCCAAGAUACCUGCAUUUAAAUCCUUGCUGUACCUCCGGCAUACAUUCCUGGAUUUCCCUGGUGGUCCAGUGGUAAAGAAUACGCCUGCAAGUGCAAAGGACAUGGGUUUGACCCCUGGUCCGGAAGAUUCCACAUGCCUUGGGGCGACUAAGCCUGUGCGCCACAACUGCAGAGCCCAGCAUCACAACUACAAAAC
ensembl:lncRNA